UUCACAUCCCAAGCUUAUCAAAAAUUUCAAAGGAAUGAAUGUUGAGAUGAUUGCAUGUGGGGAAUAUCAUUCAUGUGCUGUUACAUCCUCUGGGGAUCUAUACACUUGGGGUGAUGGUACUAAAAGUUCGGGUCUGCUUGGACACAGAAGUGAAGCCAGUCACUGGAUCCCAAAGAAAGUAUGUGGCCUCAUGGAAGGCUUAAGAGUGUCUCAUGUUUCCUGUGGGCCUUGGCAUUCAGCUCUCAUAACAUCUGCUGGCCGCCUGUUUACAUUUGGAGAUGGAACUUUUGGUGCAUUGGGUCACGGAGAUCGUUCUGGAUGUAUUACUCCUAGAGAGGUGGAAACUUUCAAUGGAUUGAAGACACUCAAGGUUGCUUGUGGUGUUUGGCACACUGCUGCUGUAGUUGAACUAAUGAGUGGAUUGGAUUCCAG
rnacentral:misc_RNA from 1 species